AAUCAAUCAUCACAUUGACAU
rnacentral:sRNA from 1 species